UUCAAACACCGGUUCCCGUACGAUAAGCGAAGUUAAGUAACGUCAAGCCUGUUCAGUACCUAGAUGGGUGACCACUUAGGAAUACCAAGUUCUGUA